rnacentral:miRNA from 1 species
UCUUCACUAUUAGACGGACAA